rnacentral:rRNA from 1 species
AUUGAACGCUGGCGGCAUGCCUAACACAUGCAAGUCGAACGGCAGCAUGGUCUAGCUUGCUAGACUGAUGGCGAGUGGCGAACGGGUGAGUAAUACGCAGGAAUAUGCCUUGAAGAGUGGGACAACUUGGGGAAACUCAAGCUAAUACCGCAUAAGCUCUUAGGAGGAAAGCUGGGGGACCUUCGGGCCUGGCGCUUCAAGAAUAGCCUGCGUCCGAUUAGCUAGUUGGUAGGGUAAGAGCCUACCAAGGCGACGAUCGGUAGCUGGUCUGAGAGGAUGGUCAGCCACACUGGGACUGAGACACGGCCCAGACUCCUACGGGAGGCAG